rnacentral:rRNA from 1 species
AUUGAACGCUGGCGGCAGGCCUAACACAUGCAAGUCGAGCGGAUGAGAAGAGCUUGCUCUUCGAUUCAGCGGCGGACGGGUGAGUAAUGCCUAGGAAUCUGCCUGGUAGUGGGGGACAACGUCUCGAAAGGGACGCUAAUACCGCAUACGUCCUACGGGAGAAAGCAGGGGACCUUCGGGCCUUGCGCUAUUAGAUGAGCCUAGGUCGGAUUAGCUCGUUGGUGAGGUAAUGGCUCACCAAGGCGACGAUCCGUAACUGGUCUGGGAGGAUGAUCAGUCACACUGGAACUGAGACACGGUCCAGACUCCUACGGGAGGCAGCAGUGGGGAAUAUUGGACAAUGGGCGAAAGCCUGAUCCAGCCAUGCCGCGUGUGUGAAGAAGGUCUUCGGAUUGUAAAGCACUUUAAGUUGGGAGGAAGGGCAGUCAGCGAAUACCUGGUUGUUUUGACGUUACCGACAGAAUAAGCACCGGCUAACUCUGUGCCAGCAGCCGCCGUAAUAC